AAAGAUGAAAAGAACUUUGAAAAGAGAGUUAAACAGUACGUGAAAUUGUUGAAAGGGAAACGAUUGAAGUCAGUCAUACCAACGGGAAAUCAACCUUUUGAGCUCGGUCUCGUGGGCUUUGAAGAGUUUCAAAGCCUUCGGAUUCGCGGGAUUGGGAUCACUUGGUGUACUUUUUCGUUCGGUUAGUCAACAUCGGUUUUGAAUGUCAUAAAAUGACUGGAGGAAUGUAGCUUCGAUCUCGUAUUGAAGUGUUAUAGCCUUUGGUAGAUGUGAUGCUUGAGACCGAGGAUUGCAACGGAUACCCUUCAGGGCUAUUCGUCUGAUCUCUGAUACGUUGCCUUGAUGUUGAAAGCUUGCUUAUGAUGUUAGGGUAUUACGGUCAAAAGGUUAGAACGAAUUACAUUCGUUAAGGAUGUUGACGUAAUGACUUUAAACGACCCGUCUU
rnacentral:rRNA from 1 species